rnacentral:rRNA from 1 species
CCUACGGGAGGCAGCAGUGAGGAAUAUUGGUCAAUGGACGAGAGUCUGAACCAGCCAAGUAGCGUGAAGGAUGACUGCCCUAUGGGUUGUAAACUUCUUUUAUAUGGGAAUAAAACGUUCCACGUGUGGGAUUUUGUAUGUACCAUAUGAAUAAGGAUCGGCUAACUCCGUGCCAGCAGCCGCGGUAAUACGGAGGAUACGAGCGUUAUCCGGAUUUAUUGGGUUUAAAGGGAGCGUAGGUGGAUUGGUAAGUCAGUUGUGAAAGUUUGCGGCUCAACCGUAAAAUUGCAGUUGAAACUGGCAGUCUUGAGUACAGUAGAGGUGGGCGGAAUUCGUGGUGUAGCGGUGAAAUGCUUAGAUAUCACGAAGAACUCCGAUUGCGAAGGCAGUUCACUGGACUGCAACUGACACUGAGGCUCGAAAGUGUGGGUAUCAAACAGGAUUAGAUACCCCUGUAGUC